rnacentral:rRNA from 1 species
UACAGAGGUCCCGAGCGUUGUUCGGAUUCACUGGGCGUAAAGGGUGCGUAGGUGGUGGUGCAAGUUUGAUGUGAAAUCUCCGGGCUUAACCUGGAAAUGGCAUUGAAUACUGCAUUGCUGGAGGUUUGGAGGGGGGACUGGAAUUCUCGGUGUAGCAGUGAAAUGCGUAGAUAUCGAGAGGAACACCAGUGGCGAAGGCGAGUCCCUGGACAAAACCUGACACUGAGGCACGAAAGCUAGGGGAGCAAACAGG